CUGAGUAGCCAAGUUGGGAAUCCCACCUGAAUCAAUCCUGUCUCUGGGCAAAAGCUGCCACUUCCCCAUGAGUACAACAGAUGCCCAUACCAAAGCAAUUACUGUAUGGGAGAUGCCGGCUGGCUGGAAGAACCUGUUCAUUCUGGGUCUGUAAUGGAGUCUGUGAGGAACUCAGCUUCCUGGUGUGGAAGAAGGAGAAGAACUUCUUUGUCAACAACUGAGAAGAUCCUGAAGAAUCCCAAGGUGCAUGAGGAGGUAACAAGGGGACAGCUGAAAUUUAUGUUAUUGUGACAUUUCUAUGCUAAUCUCAAGAAUGAUCGUGCUGAGAAAGUAAAUCCUUUGCAAAUGCUCAUGAAUCUCUGGUAUUCAGGUGCCCUGCAGGAGAGACGCAGAGAUACAGAAAAGAUUUUCACCACUUGUUCUCAGCAUGUGGCUCUCAUCUGGUGCUGUGUUCUUCCUGCUCGUUGCCUGGGACAGCAUUCAGAACAAGUGGGAUUUUCAAAAGUGGUCUGUGUAGAGCAAGAAUAUUCCUAUUUUCCCCCCUGCCCAGGCUAAACAGAUUGCUCCAACUGCACUUCCCCUUCUGGGUCCUCCUCCCAAGUACAGGUGAAGGAUGGUUCUUCACAAGACUUGGGAGCUGAGGCUUGCACACUGACUGUUCUGUUAUCCAUCUAUAGUCAUGCCCUCCUGUUGUACUGCCUAAUGGAUAGUGUCGUCCCUUCCUGUGUUUCAGCCUCCUUUUACACCUGAAAUUGCUAUCCGAAGUGCAGACGCAGCAAUGAUGUGGAGCCCUAAAACAGGAGAGAGGGACAGCAGAAAGAAAGGAGAGGUGUAAAAAAGCACCAGCAACAAGCCCAGGAAGUUGAGCGAAUGCAUAAGCAGAACCAUUAGCGUGUGCUUGUGGAAUGUGUAACACGUAGCAGAGAGCAGCCUUACUCUCGUUCUGGCUGACUCACUUGGUCUCUCUUACCUGUCAUUAACAUUGUGAGGUGUUCACCCUGACACGUCACUUUUUGUUCAGCUCACUGUAGCUUGUCAUACAUAGAAAAGACAGGCAACUCCAUGCUCUUUCUCUCUUCCUUAACGCAGAGGUUCCCAAACCGUGCAAAGAUCCUCGUCAGCCUUCUUUGUGUCUUUUGGAGCACUUACACUUUUAUUGUUCAACUUUGAAUAGAGAGUUUUUAAAAAUAGUUGGUUCUCCAGACCAACUACAAACUUUUAUAACCUUGCCAGCCAUCCAUGGAUCAAGGGUGGGAAGUGCUGUUUUAGCCACAAAGGUGCCAAUUUUUAUUAUUUUCUCUUUGAUUUUUUUUUAAAUACAACAAGAAUUCUGGUGAAGAACUACAUGUAAAAUGGAGCUGAGGAUUAAUGAAGAAGCAAAUGGGAGAUCUUUUUUUGCUUA